rnacentral:rRNA from 1 species
UACGGAGGGUGCAAGCGUUAUCCGGUUUCACUGGGUUUAAAGGGUGCGUAGGUGGGCAGGUAAGUCAGUGGUGAAAUCUCCGGGCUUAACCCGGAAACUGCCGUUGAUACUAUUUGUCUUGAAUAUUGUGGAGGUAAGCGGAAUAUGUCAUGUAGCGGUGAAAUGCUUAGAUAUGACAUAGAACACCAAUUGCGAAGGCAGCUUACUACACAACGAUUGACGCUGAGGCACGAAAGCGUGGGGAUCAAACAGG